rnacentral:piRNA from 1 species
UAACAAAGUGAAGUACCCUAAAGAUUAGAA